UCAGUAUCAAUAUUAAGAAAUGAAUGUCACACCACUCACCAAUAUAUUUCGUGAUCCACAAACAAAUGUAAUAACAUUCGCAAAUAUAAUUCAUACAUUUCAUGAUCCACAAACAAAUGUAACAACAUUCACAAAUAUAAUUCAUGAUGCACAAAUGAAUGUAACCCCAUUCACAAAUGCCAGCGCAGUUCUAUUAAUUUGCAAACCGGUCUACAUAUAUUCGCAAGCCCUAUACAUAUUUGUGACUUCCAUUGUAUUUGUGUGUGGAUUUUUGAGACUGUCCUGACGGUAUUUGACACACAAAUGUGCUCAGCCAAUCACAUCAGCCGGCGUUCGAGCGUAAGGUUGAAGACAUUGCGCUUCUAUUACGCAGAGCAGGCUACUAGUGCGAAGCCACCAUAGAUCUGUAUAAAUAACUGGAAGUAGAGCCAUUACUGAAGUGCUCCCUGACGUAAACUCGGAAGCGUAUGAAGUUACUGACUUUCACAUCAUCUUUGUACAAAUAUGUCUGGAUCUGGACUAACGUGUGCCGUAAUCGGAUGUAACAAUAACAGCAGAAAGCUAAAAAUGUGGAAAAAGAGCGUAUGUGCGCUUCAUAGUCCACAGUUUAAAGAGGAUUGUCCAUGUUGUGUGCCCUACGGUGUACACCGCUUCCCCGGCCGUGCUGAGGAUGAAGACAUUCGCAAGAUGUGGAUUAAAAACGUACACCGAAAGGACUUUGCCCCCAAACAAGUAUUCAAGGGUGUGUGGAGUACACUUCCCUGACGGCAGACCAACGCAGGAACACCCAUAUCCCAUAAUAUGGGAUAUGAAUAUAGUAAAGCACCGUCAUGUGGAAGACCACCCCAAAGAGGAGAUGUCUCCAGCCCCCAACAGAGAGACCAUGUGAUGAGCCUCCUGUGACAGAUUCUGACACCGAAGUAGGGCAUAGCUUGGAGGAUAGUCUGUCUCCACACCAAUGUGAUGUUGGCACUCAGUGGCCAGAGCGUAGUGAUCAUGAUUGUUGUUCGAUGAAGUCAACAAAAGAUGCAAGCACACAAACCGAUCCUACACCAUCACUGUCAGAUCAUGACAUGGAUGAUAAAGUGUCAAAACUUUACACUGGACUAGACAUCAUCAGCUUUUGGCAACUUUUGAACACCAUCAUUGGCUUUCUUCCACAGUCGAAGACGUUCAAAUUACCAGUCCAUGAACAGCUAAGUGCUGGUCCUAAUGAGGCUUCGGCUUGGCUACAGCCUGUGAUAUGUCCGCAAUGUGGAGAGCAACACUUGCCAAUUUCACAAGGGAAAAUCUUAUUUUUUGGCUCCCUCGAGACACUCUGAAUAGAGUAAGACCCUCAAGUUUUCUUGAACACUAUCCCAAUGCAACAUGCAUCAUAGAUUGCACUGAAAUAUUUGUCCAAAGACCGAAGAACUUGGGGAAAAGAGCAAAAACAUACAGCAACUAUAAGCAUCACAACACCUACAAAGUCCUCUAUUGCAUAGCCCCCAAUGGUUUUGUGAUGUAUGUGUCAAAACUGUUUGGUGGCAGAGCUAGUGACACUUUUAUCUUAAACUGUGGAUUUCUGGUGAUCAGAUUUUGACAGACCGGGGAUUCACAAUUGGAGAUGUUCUUCCUCCAGGAGUGACAUUGGCUAUUCCAGCAUUUACACGUGGAUGUACACAACUAUCAGAACAUGAAGUCACAAGAACCCGCCGUCUCGCCAAUGUCCGAAUUCAUGUUGAACGUGCAAUAAGAAGGUUAAAAUGCUUCAAAAUUUUGAGUAAUGUAAUUCCAGGUUGAUUAAAACAUGUUGAUGACAUUUUGA